rnacentral:rRNA from 1 species
UACGAAGGGGGCUAGCGUUGCUCGGAAUUACUGGGCGUAAAGGGCGCGUAGGCGGAUAGUUUAGUCAGAGGUGAAAGCCCAGGGCUCAACCUUGGAAUUGCCUUUGAUACUGGCUAUCUUGAGUUCGGGAGAGGUGAGUGGAAUGCCGAGUGUAGAGGUGAAAUGCGUAGAUAUCGGAAGGAACACCUGUGGCGAAAGCGGCUCACUGGACCAUAACUGACGCUGAGGCGCGAAAGCUAGGGGAGCAAACAGG